ACCUGACAUCUUCGAAGUUAUCCUCGUGAUGCCCAAUUUUCUUAUGUUUUUCUUCUAUUGCCACUAUUUCUAUCUACCUUGGAAGUAUUGCUGCCUUUUAAGGUGGAUAGAAAUAGUGGCAACACAAGAAAAACCUAAGAAAAUUGGGCAUCAUGAGGAUAACUUCGAAGAUGUCAGGUGA